rnacentral:RNase_P_RNA from 1 species
GCAAGCCAGACAGCCGCUGGCCAUCGUCAGGUGGCGGGAGGAAGGUCCGGACUCCACAGAGCGGGGUGACGGCUAACGGCCGUACGCUGAAAGCCGCAAGGUAUAAGGCGAGGAACAGGGCCACAGAGACGAGUCUUUGGGAUCUGCGGAAGGCGCAAGCCUAAAGCGGGGUCACAAAGGGUGAAACGCGGUAACCUCCACCCGGAGCAAUUCCAAAUAGGCACGCAUUGAUGCUGCUCGCGGAGCGUGCGGGUAGGAAGCUUGAGCCGUGGAGCAAUUCACGGCCUAGAGGAAUGGCUGUCAUAGCGGGGCGACUCGCCGUAACAGAAUCCGGCCUAUCGGCUUGCUUCU